UCCCGUGGCGCUUGAUUUUUUGUUUCAGGGUAUGAGACCGGUGUUAUACAGGCAUCUGAGUUCCGUACAUACCACACUCCACUUAACACACAAGGUGACUUUGUUAAUGCCCUGCGAGCUGCUCGGGAGUUCAGUUCAAAAAUAUCCAAUUCCUUGAAGAUUGACAUCUUUCCAUAUUCUGUCUUUUAC